CCCAAAGAAAAAAACAAAUGUUACCCAAUAGGCAAACAAUGCUGAGAGUUCACUUCCUCUAACUCUGUAGUUAAGUUACUCACUCAGUAUAACAUCACCCUCCUGCCAGGGGUUGAAGUCAGGAAGUAGUUUAUUUUCGCUGAAACUGAAGGGGGAAGUUAAAGAGAAAAAUAGCUGCAACUUGGUCAAUUCAGGAAAACCAGGUACGAAAAAAGAGGAGCAAGUUAAAGGGAAAGCCAGCUCGGAUUUGCUCACCAGUAAAAGGCAAAAAUCCCAGUGUUAUUCAUCUGCAUUUGGUGUGAAAGACAAAAGCUCAACUGGGAUCUGAGGCUUUCUGUGUCAGAGGGCAAGGAGUCAAUGGGGUUAUGAGGAAGUAAGACCACUUGAGACAUCAAAGAAAAGUAGAUCAAAUCACUAGACUCCUCCAAACAGGAGUGGGUGAAGACAAAAAGUGGAGAGAAUCCAGAGGGAAGAGAGGAGUAGGGAAAAUGGUGGAAAGGGAAGGUUUUUGAGAUGGAAGGCAGAGAAUGGGAACAAAAGAAGAAAAAGCUGUUUGUUUCAAAUCAAUAUUCUCCAAGAGGAUGUCUUGUUUCCCCAGGGAUAUUCUGAGGGACUCACAGGAUCAGAGCUGCGACACUUCUAACAUAUGGUACACAAAUAUCCAAGAUUGGAAAGAAGAAAGAAAAUGACGACAGAAUUUUGCAGUCUACAAGGCAAACACUGCCAUUCAUGUAGUUAUGGAGUUCCUACUAUGUGCAGACAAUGGGAAACUUUACGAAGGGACACAGAGGUUCAUGUGAUGUAAUAAGAAAGAAAUAAAGGAAGCUUUAUCUGCCGCUCUUUCAACCUCAUCCACUCAACACUUACCCCGUGACAGACCCCAAUACUCUUAAUGAAUUCCCAAGGUUACGAAAGAACUUGGAAGAUCUUACAUUCCUACAUGGUGAUUACAGAGGCUCACAUUUUGCCAAGUCAUAUGCAGGUGGCUGAAAAAUGUGAUCUAACGUCCUUGAACACAUUUAUUACAAUCCAUCAUCUACAUGGCAACAGUCAGGGCCAUGCUCAUAAACCAGAACUGGUGCUAGAUCUGGUAAGUCAUUAAGCAAACAUAUUCCUGUGUUGUGCGUGGCGUGCAUGCCCACUGCCUGCCUAUAAAACGGAAAUAAGAUUUCUGAUUUGCAAAUUACCUCCUAAGACAUGUAAAGCUAGCUCCUUUAAUCCACAUUACUCAUUUUUGUAUUUUGACUGUUUCAAAUGCUAAAACAGACCUGAAUACAGUUUCCACAGUUCUCUUUAUAAUUAUUGUAUUUUUCAUUUACAUGAUCAUGAAACCUGUUAGCAAGUGAGAAACAGAAUCAUUUUCACUGAGACAAAAAAUAUUGAGAAUUAGGGGGAGAAACUCUGAAGCAAUAUAAACAACAGAGUCUAAUCUUAUCAAAGAGAGAAGGCAGUUGGUGAAUCUGAAAGAUCACUUACUUACCACUCAAUCAUAGAACUUAUACCCCCAAAUAGGAUUUAAGAAAGAAAAAAGCAAUUUAGUAGGAACUGGAAGUUAUAGGGCAUAGGUCUGCUUUAGUUGGUGACAAAAAUUAUGCCUCAGAGGUUAAGAGCAUGGAUUAGGGUGCUGGGUUGCCUGGUUUAAAUCCUAGCUCUGGCACUUACUACUGCAUGGUCCUUGACCAGUUAUUUAACUACUCUGUGCCUCGGCUUCCCAGUGUGGAAAGCAGAAAAACAGUAUCUCCCUUACAGAGAGGCUUUAAAGUUUAAAUGCAUUAACAAAGGGAAAAUCCUUUCAAUGUUGACACAUCAUGAGUGUGACAUAAGUAUUACCUAUUAUUUUUAUUAUGUGACCAAAUGUGGAAGAAAAAUUCUAUAAGAAAGUAGUAACAUUGUUUAGUCUUUCAAAAAUCAUAUAUUCUCCUCCAAUCCUGGCUCUCUGCAAUUCAAGAAAUCCUAACAAAUAGAAAACCUUUGUACACAGGAGAAAACGGAGAUGAGCAAAGGCAAUAUUUGGCUUAUUUGUUAUAACCCUAAUAAAACAAGACUGCUUGAAGAAAUAGACCAAAUUGUGGAAUGUUUAACAUUGAUCCAGGACUGGCUCUUCUGAGGAAAAGAUAUAAUAUUUAUCAUGUGGCCAAUUUUGUCUGUGAAGAUAAGGAGGAACUAAUCGGUCUCAACUUCAUGAUGUUGCUUAAAGGAGCAUAUAAAUGUACGAUCAUAAGUAUCCUUUAAAUGAAGGGGUUGGUUUUAUGACUGCAGAAGUGAGAAAGAGUAAGGUCAUUUAGCCUGAGCAACACAGCAAAACCUUGUCUCUACUAAAAAUUAAACAAAACAACCAAAAAAUCACUCAGGUGUGGUGGCGCAUGCCUGUGGUCCCAACUACUCAGGAGGCUGAGGUGGGAGGAUUGCUUGAGCCUGAGAGGUGGAGGUUGCAGUGAGCCUUGAUUGCGCCACAGCACUCUAGCCUGGGUGACAGAGCAAGACUGUCAAAAAAGGAAAGAAAAGAAAGAAAAGAAAAAGAAAGAAACUAAAACAGAAAGAAAAGAAAGAAAGAAUGGGAGAGAGAGAGGAAGGAAGGAAGGAAGGAGAAAGAAGA
rnacentral:lncRNA from 10 species